CGUGCUCCACGGCCAGCUGGACGGCAUUGCUGGUUUGUGUUAUCCGAAAGCGAUCGGAGUUCUCAAUGGGUAUCUCCCCACGGCUCCUGAAAGUGAAAGAUUAAUGCCACACCAAGAAGUGGCCAUGAUCCGGUACGGACGAGGCCGAGGACAGCGUGCCGUUGAUCUGUUUAUGUUCGUUGCACUGACAGCAUUUGGAACAUCCGUUGCCCAUGGCGUUCGACUGGCUAGGGCCUGCUUAUAAUUUCUGUUCAAAUAAUAACCGCCCGCCAGCUAUUCGGUUCUCGUUCUCUUGUUCUCGUUCGCUAUUUUCUUUUGAUUGAUUGAUUUGUCUAAUUUUAAAACAUAAAAGAAGGUUAGAUGCCUUCAACACUCUUGCAGUCCCAGAUCGUAAAUAUGACAGCUAUAUGAUUAAGUGAUCAGAUUUUAAAUUGAAAUUUGUAGUAAAAUCAUUUACAAAACAUAAAGUUUGGUCUGCUUUUAGAAACAAGAAACUCUCACAAAGACUUGUUGUAUGAGAACGAUCAAUCCUGGGCAAUAUAUCAGAUUUGUUGACUAUCAAACUAAAAGACUAGCUUACUUAUCGACAACACAUGACUAUAUUCUUUAAAGGAUCGGAAAUACACGCUUCUCUACGUGCUUCUCACUAUCCCCAAGAGUAUAAUGAACAUAUAGUACACGUGCCCGCGUAUCUAUCGAAACGUCAUUUAUUUAUUUUGGCAGGAUUAUUGACCAAUAAAACAGAACCUCAUAAAACAAAACAAUGGAAGAGAAAAAUGACUGAAAAUAGCUUUGAACCGAAACAAGAAUGUUUAUAAAUAAAUGCUCAAACUUUCGGCAGUGCGAGAA